GAGUCGGUUACGCAAGGGGAAGGUAUUAGCACCCCUCACGUCCGUCGUACUCGACGGGAUCCACGUCCUAAAAGAAAGAAAAGGUUGCUAAAACAUCACACACACACACACCGAAGACAACGCAGGUGGGGUUAAGAAGAAGGGAGCUCGAUAGGACAUCGCAUCCUAUGCCUACAUAUCUCGUCUGGAACGAGAAUCAGAGCUACUGUAGUUCGGCUCACGCACGCCAAACAAG
rnacentral:lncRNA from 1 species